GGACGAACGCUGGCGGCGUGCUUAACCCAUGCAAGUCGAACGGAAAGGCCCUGCUUUUGUGGGGUGCUCGAGUGGCGAACGGGUGAGUAACACGUGAGUAACCUGCCCUUGACUUUGGGAUAACUUCAGGAAACUGGGGCUAAUACCGGAUAGGAGCUCCUGCUGCAUGGUGGGGGUUGGAAAGUUUCGGCGGUUGGGGAUGGACUCGCGGCUUAUCAGCUUGUUGGUGGGGUAGUGGCUUACCAAGGCUUUGACGGGUAGCCGGCCUGAGAGGGUGACCGGCCACAUUGGGACUGAGAUACGGCCCAGACUCCUACGGGAGGCAGCAGUGGGGAAUAUUGCACAAUGGGCGGAAGCCUGAUGCAGCAACGCCGCGUGCGGAUGACGGCCUUCGGGUUGUAAACCGCUUUCGCCUGUGACGAAGCGUGAGUGACGGUAAUGGGUAAAGAAGCACCGGCUAACUACGUG
rnacentral:rRNA from 1 species